AAUAUACUCCCUCCGUCUCAUAAUUCUUGUCCCAAAUUUGUCCAAAUAUGAAUGUAUAUAUUCCUAAAAAGCGUUUAGAUACAUAUAAUAUUUCGACAAGAAUUAUGGGACGGAGGGAGUAUCAG
rfam:Brachypodium distachyon strain Bd21 chromosome 4, whole genome shotgun sequence.